rnacentral:lncRNA from 1 species
GCGAAGCUCACAGGCCUUGGGCCAGUGGUGGGACGCUGGAGCAGGAAGUCGGCCUGUGGCCCGCUAUGUUCGUGAGGGCGCGUCUCUUGGCACCCCUGUAGUCGCUAUGUUUCCCAUGCCCGUGGCAGGCCUGAGAGGUUAUGUUUGCGGGGGGUGCUUUUUUUGUAGCUUCUGUGUUCGCCAUAUUUGAAAGGGGUAGACGGCCAUGUUCGUCAUGGCCAUGAACGGCUCUUCCCUUGGUGCACCUGUGGCCGCCAUGUUUGAGCGGGGACCCUGUGGCAGGCCGGGACCGUUUCUCCGGCGCUAUCCCAGAGCAUGGCGCAUCCACUGAUUCACUCAACCCCACCCUCUCCUAUCCUCUUGGUCCACCUGAGUUAGCUGGGCAAAAAUAACCCUGCGGUAGGACAGCUGUCUGCUGUUGGAAAGUAUUGCAGCUCCUCCCGUGUCCGCCCCGUACACAUGUGCCAAGGUCCUGCCUUGAAUGAAGGACACAGCGGAGAAGGAUGUAGGCUCUGAGCCUGCUAGGGUGCCUGAGAGACUCACAGGGCUCCCCCUGGGGCAGUUGGAAGAUGCCCAGAAACUUCAGGGAGCCACCAGCAUGGGGCAGAGGGUCUCUUCUGGAGUUGGUGGCAUCAGAAUCAGG